rnacentral:ncRNA from 1 species
CGCAUGGGCUUGGUCCUGACCCUAAAAUCAAUUAUUACCCAACUUACACAUGCAAGUCUCCGCACACCCGUGAGGACGCCCUUCUUUCCCCCCCGGGGAAUAAGGAGCUGGUAUCAGGCACUCUAACGAGCCCAAAACAUCUAGCGAAGCCACACCCACAAGGGAAUUCAGCAGUGAUAAAUAUUAAAUAUGAACGUCAGUUCGAUUUAGUCAGUGUAAACAGAGCCGGCCAAUCUGGUGCCAGCCGCCGCGGCUAUACCACAGGCUCAAGUUGAUAACGUUCGGCGUAAAGCGUGAUUAAAGAAAUAUGCUAACUGAAGUCAAACUUGAACUGCACCGUAAAAUAUAUGUUCUUAAGAAGCCCACAAUCGAAAGAUACUUCAACUAACCAACUUGAACUCACGACAACUAAGGCCCAAACUGGGAUUUGAUACCCCACUAUGCUUAGUCGUAAACUUUAACUUACACCCACAUCGCCAGGGAACUACGAGCAAUGCUUAAAACCCAAAGGACUUGACGGUGCCCCAGACCCACUAGAGGAGCCUGUCCCAUAAUCGAUGACCCCCGCUUAACCUUACCAUUUUUAGUCUAUCAGUCUGUAUACUUCCGUCGUCAGCUUACCUCCUGAGAGGAAAAAAGUAAGCCCCCUGUUUACCGACAAUACGUCAGGUCAAAGUGCAGCAAAUAAAAUGGCCGAAGAUGGGCUACACUUUCUAAUAUAGAAGAAUACGAAAAACUAUAUGAAAACAUAGUUAGAAGGUGGAUUUAGCAGUAAGAAGAAAGUAGAGUAUUCUUCUUAACUCGGCAAUAGGGUGCGUACACACCGCCCGUCACCCUCUUCAAUAGACACCCCCCCCCAGUAUCUAACAAACAACUUCAUUUCAGAAGAGGCAAGUC